GACGAACGCUGGCGGCGUGCUUAACACAUGCAAGUCGAACGGAAAGGCCCUGCUUUUGUGGGGUGCUCGAGUGGCGAACGGGUGAGUAGCACGUGAGUAACCUGCCCUUUACUUUGGGAUAACUUCAGGAAACUGGGGCUAAUACCGGAUAGGAGCUCCUGCUGCAUGGUGGGGGUUGGAAAGUUUCGGCGGUUGGGGAUGGACUCGCGGCGUAUCAGCUUGUUGGUGGGGUGGUGGAGUACCAAGGCUUUGACGGGUAGCCGGGCUGGGCGGGUGACCGGCCACAUUGGGACGGGGCUGAGGCCCAGACUCCUACGGGAGGCAGCAGUGGGGAAUAGAGCACAAGGGGCGGAAGCCAGACGCAGCAACGCAGCGUGCGGGAUGACGGCCUUCGGGUUGUAAACCGCUUUCGCCUGUGACGAAGCGUGAGUGACGGUAAUGGGUAAAGAAGCACCGGCUAACUACGUG
rnacentral:rRNA from 1 species